rnacentral:rRNA from 1 species
CACUCCUUUACAAACCCUAAUCUCCACUCAUCUGUGCACCUCCGUAGACUCGAGGAUGGUGUGGACAACUGUCUAUGCCUUCCUUGUCUAUGUUUUCAAUACACACGUCUUUUUAUCUUUGAAUGCGUCAUGUAUAAUGAAAUACAACUUUCAACAACGGAUCUCUUGGUUCUCGCAUCGAUGAAGAACGCAGCGAAUUGCGAUAUGUAAUGUGAAUUGCAGAAUUCAGUGAAUCAUCGAAUCUUUGAACGCACAUUGCACCCUUCUGGUUUUUUCCGAAGGGUAUGCCUGUUUGAGUGUCAUGAAUCUAUCAACGUAGUCAAGCUUUGCCUUGCUAUGAUUGCAUGAAUGAAGGUUGCUGGAAAUCUUGUCAGCUCCUUUUAAAUCGAUUAGCGGAAAAUGCUUUCAGCUCUGGUUUGAUAAAUUUUUCUAUGCCUUUGCUGAUGCUAUCAUCUUUCGCUUCUAAUUGUCCGUUUGGACUGUCUUCCAAAGACACGUCUUGAUUUUGACCUCAAAUCAGGUAGGACUACCCGCUGAACUUAAGCAUAUCAAUAAGCGGAG